UACGGAGGAUUCAAGCGUUAUCCGGAUUUAUUGGGUUUAAAGGGUGCGUAGGCGGCCGGAUAAGUUAGAGGUGAAAUCCCGAGGCUCAACUUCGGAAUUGCCUCUGAUACUGUUCGGCUAGAGAGUAGUUGCGGUAGGCGGAAUGUAUGGUGUAGCGGUGAAAUGCUUAGAGAUCAUACAGAACACCGAUUGCGAAGGCAGCUUACCAAGCUACUUCUGACGUUGAGGCACGAAAGCGUGGGGAGCAAAUAGG
rnacentral:rRNA from 1 species